rnacentral:rRNA from 1 species
GGCGAACGGGUGAGGAAUACAUCGGAACGUGCCCGAGAGUGGGGGAUAACGCCGCGAAAGCGGCGCUAAUACCGCAUAUUCUCCGAGGAGGAAAGUGGGGGACCGCAAGGCCUCACGCUCACGGAGCGGCCGAUGUCGGAUUAGCUAGUUGGUGGGGUAAAGGCUUACCAAGGCGACGAUCCGUAGCUGGUCUGAGAGGAUGAUCAGCCACACUGGGACUGAGACACGGCCCAGACUCCUACGGGAGGCAGCAGUG